rnacentral:rRNA from 1 species
GACGAACGCUGGCGGCGUGCUUAACACAUGCAAGUCGAACGAUGAUGCCCAGCUUGCUGGGUGGAUUAGUGGCGAACGGGUGAGUAACACGUGAGUAACCUGCCCCUGACUCUGGGAUAAGCGUUGGAAACGACGUCUAAUACUGGAUAUGACUGCCGGCCGCAUGGUCUGGUGGUGGAAAGAUUUUUUGGUUGGGGAUGGACUCGCGGCCUAUCAGCUUGUUGGUGAGGUAAUGGCUCACCAAGGCGACGACGGGUAGCCGGCCUGAGAGGGUGACCGGCCAUACUGGGACUGAGACACGGCCCAGACUCCUACGGGAGGCAGCAGUGGGGAAUAUUGCACAAUGGGCGAAAGCCUGAUGCAGCAACGCCGCGUGAGGGAUGACGGCCUUCGGGUUGUAAACCUCUUUUAGUAGGGAAGAAGCGAAAGUGACGGUACCUGCAGAAAAAGCACCGGCUAACUACGUGCCAGCAGCCGCGGUAAUACGUAGGGUGCAAGCGUUGUCCGGAAUUAUUGGGCGUAAAGAGCUCGUAGGCGGUUUGUCGCGUCUGCUGUGAAAUCCCGAGGCUCAACCUCGGGCUUGCAGUGGGUACGGGCAGACUAGAGUGCGGUAGGGGAGAUUGGAAUUCCUGGUGUAGCGGUGGAAUGCGCAGAUAUCAGGAGGAACACCGAUGGCGAAGGCAGAUCUCUGGGCCGUAACUGACGCUGAGGAGCGAAAGCGUGGGGAGCGAACAGGAUUAGAUACCCUGGUAGUCCACGCCGUAAACGUUGGGCGCUAGAUGUAGGGACCUUUCCACGGUUUCUGUGUCGUAGCUAACGCAUUAAGCGCCCCGCCUGGGGAGUACGGCCGCAAGGCUAAAACUCAAAGGAAUUGACGGGGGCCCGCACAAGCGGCGGAGCAUGCGGAUUAAUUCGAUGCAACGCGAAGAACCUUACCAAGGCUUGACAUACACCGGAAACGGCCAGAGAUGGUCGCCCCCUUGUGGUCGGUGUACAGGUGGUGCAUGGUUGUCGUCAGCUCGUGUCGUGAGAUGUUGGGUUAAGUCCCGCAACGAGCGCAACCCUCGUUCUAUGUUGCCAGCGCGUUAUGGCGGGGACUCAUAGGAGACUGCCGGGGUCAACUCGGAGGAAGGUGGGGAUGACGUCAAAUCAUCAUGCCCCUUAUGUCUUGGGCUUCACGCAUGCUACAAUGGCCGGUACAAAGGGCUGCGAUACCGUAAGGUGGAGCGAAUCCCAAAAAGCCGGUCUCAGUUCGGAUUGAGGUCUGCAACUCGACCUCAUGAAGUCGGAGUCGCUAGUAAUCGCAGAUCAGCAACGCUGCGGUGAAUACGUUCCCGGGCCU